ensembl:piRNA 21ur-4416 ncRNA
UUCGAAAGUAUUUCACAAACG